UGGCAUGGCUGCCGGAAUCGGAUAUUUCUGCACUCGGUUCUCCGUUGACCGGUAGGGCGGCCGGACCACGCCUUGCGGUGGGGCCAGGCCCGCCGAGGAAGGCCGCGGGUCGGUCGUCUGUCGGCUUCAUGCCCGACGACCACUUAGUUCUCCCAUUUGAGAGAAUCCCCGGUCUUCUCCUGGCCAGACAAAGGGAGCAGGUUUGACCCGCCGGUGUUGACUGUUCCUCGAGUCUACCCUCCAACCGGAACAGAUGAUGUGGGCCCAGUUAUAAAGCCAUCCAUACGUGGGCCUAUGCCUAAUAACUUGGGUUCGGCCUGUUAAUUUCGAUAAGAAAGUGUUUCAUUACAUUUGAAUCAAGAUCAAGAAGAUUUAAAAGAAUGCCAAAUAGAUAAUAAUGAGCAUCAUGCUGUGAAUCAGAUUGUUGCUUCCUCAGGGAGUACUUCAGCAAGCUCUUUACAGAGCAUUAAGACCAGGAGAUUUCUCCUGAACGAUACAGUUUUGGACAUCUCUGGGUUCUCAAACCAAUCAGGGAAGUACCCAGAUAAGCGAUUCUGAUGGGGAACGAGGAAAAUGGCAGGGAAGAGAUGCCGUGGAGAUGAGAUUUAUGAUGAUGAACAAGGAGGGCCUAAAUUCCAGACAUACAUCUUCUUCUAAUCCUAAGAAACUUCAAACGAAAGGUUGUUCAGAGCUCAGGAGUCAGAGAGGAAGGGUUGCUUCUUCUGGCUGUUAAAGUCUGGUGUUAUUAUACCUUUGAACGCUGUUGCUCAGUCUCUGGAGUUCAAAGAAUUAUGACGUGCUAAAAGUAGG
rnacentral:lncRNA from 1 species